AUCUAAGUACCCCGAGGAAAAGAAAUCAACCGAGAUUCCCCCAGUAGCGGCGAGCGAACGGGGAGGAGCCCAGAGCCUGAAUCAGCAUGUGUGUUAGUGGAAGCGUCUGGAAAGGCGCGCGAUACAGGGUGACAGCCCCGUACACAAAAGCGCAUGUGCUGUGAGCUCGAUGAGUAGGGCGGGACACGUGGUAUCCUGUCUGAAUAUGGGGGGACCAUCCUCCAAGGCUAAAUACUCCUGACUGACCGAUAGUGAACCAGUACCGUGAGGGAAAGGCGAAAAGAACCCCGGCGAGGGGAGUGAAAAAGAACCUGAAACCGUGUACGUACAAGCAGUGGGAGCACCCUUCGGGGUGUGACUGCGUACCUUUUGUAUAAUGGGUCAGCGACUUAUAUUCUGUAGCAAGGUUAACCGUAUAGGGGAGCCGGAGGGAAACCGAGUCUUAAUUGGGCGUUAAGUUGCAGGGUAUAGACCCGAAACCCGGUGAUCUAGCCAUGGGCAGGUUGAAGGUUGGGUAACACUAACUGGAGGACCGAACCGACUAAUGUUGAAAAAUUAGCGGAUGACCUGUGGCUGGGGGUGAAAGGCCAAUCAAACCGGGAGAUAGCUGGUUCUCCCCGAAAGCUAUUUAGGUAGCGCCUCGUGAAUUCAUCUCCGGGGGUAGAGCACUGUUUCGGCUAGGGGGCCAUCCCGGCUUACCAACCCGAUGCAAACUGCGAAUACCGGAGAAUGUUAUCACGGGAGACACACGGCGGGUGCUAACGUCCGUCGUGAAGAGGGAAACAACCCAGACCGCCAGCUAAGGUCCCAAAGUCAUGGUUAAGUGGGAAACGAUGUGGGAAGGCCCAGACAGCCAGGAUGUUGGCUUAGAAGCAGCCAUCAUUUAAAGAAAGCGUAAUAGCUCACUGGUCGAGUCGGCCUGCGCGGAAGAUGUAACGGGGCUAAACCAUGCACCGAAGCUGCGGCAGCGAACGUAUCACCCAAGACAACUUUACGGAGUUGACGAUUGACGGAGCGAAGCGACGUCAAAGCGUUCAUUAAAGUCGAGUUGGCUUAGGGAUACGUUCGUUGGGUAGGGGAGCGUUCUGUAAGCCUGUGAAGGUGUGUCGUGAGGCAUGCUGGAGGUAUCAGAAGUGCGAAUGCUGACAUAAGUAACGAUAAAGCGGGUGAAAAGCCCGCUCGCCGGAAGACCAAGGGUUCCUGUCCAACGUUAAUCGGGGCAGGGUGAGUCGACCCCUAAGGCGAGGCCGAAAGGCGUAGUCGAUGGGAAACGGGUUAAUAUUCCCGUACUUGGUGUUACUGCGAAGGGGGGACGGAGAAGGCUAUGUUGGCCGGGCGACGGUUGUCCCGGUUUAAGCGUGUAGGUGUGUGUUCCAGGUAAAUCCGGUU
rnacentral:rRNA from 2 species